rnacentral:rRNA from 1 species
UCCCUAGUACGGCGAGUGAGCGGGAAAAGCUCAAAUUUAAAAUCUGGCAAUCUUUGGUUGUCCGAAUUGUAAUCUAGAGAAGCGUUUUCCGUGCUGGACUGUGUGCAAGUUUCCUGGAUACGGAACAUCAUAGAGGGUGAGAAUCCCGUCCUUCACACAGACUGCCAGUGCUUUGUGAUGCGCUCUCGACGAGUCGAGUUGUUUGGGAUUGCAGCUCAAAAUGGGAGGUAAAUUCCUUCUAAAGCUAAAUAUUGGCGAGAGACCGAUAGCGAACAAGUACCGUGAGGGAAAGAUGAAAAGCACUUUGGAAAGAGAGUUAAACAGUACGUGAAAUUGUUAAAAGGGAAACGCUUGAAGUCAGUCAUGUUUGCUUGGACUCAACCUAACCUCGGUUUGGUGCAUUUCCUUGCAGACGGGCCAGCGUUCAUGUUGUUUGCCAGAGAAGGAGCGAGAGAAUGUGACUCCUUUGGGAGUGUUAUAGCUCUCACUCGCAUGUGGGGAACAAUAUGGAGUGGUACAGCACGCUUUGUCGGUGCUUGUGCUGGCAUAAUGGCUUUAAACGACCCGUCU